AAUAAAUUUCAUUAAAAAAUUGGAAAUUGCAACAGAAAUGCAUUUUUAACCAUAAAUAAUACGUUGACAGUUGUAAUUUUCGAAAGUAAUCAAGUGUAGCUAAUUAACAACAGCAACUGCAGUUCGAGUCAAGUCGCAAAAGGUGCGCACUUCAAAUGGAGGGCGUGGCAAGCAGCUAACGAUGCGCCCCCCAUAUGAUGAGCAAUGGAUAACGUGUAGAGAGCUGGCGACCCCAGCGACAUGUCGAGCAUACAUAAGGUUGACGUUGCCUGGUCUUAACAUUUAAUACCAAUAUGACAGACCCAGGAUCCAUGGCCAGAGCCAGAGGCAGAGCCAGUGGCAAUGGCAGUUGCAGUAUGUGUAAGAUGAAUGAGCAUGAAUUAUAAACACAUAAAAAACAACAAUGCGAACAACUCGGUGCUGGCCAGUGAAAAUAGUUAGUUGCUGCUCGAAGCUGUUGUUGCUGUUGUUGUAACUGCAGCUGACAUUUCAGUUAAUUUUGAUGUAUGUGCCCGGGGCCGGAGGGGGCGUCGCCCAUACAAGAGGAUGUAACUAUGGCUAUGUGUGGGUUCCCUAGUACUGAGCACCGAGCACCGAGCACCACCGAGCACCACCGAGCAUCGAGCCCGGAGCUGUUGUUAAACCAAACGGAUUUCCACUCGAGGCUGGGGGAGAGAAGGGCCAGCAACGAACGCUUGAAAUAACAAUAACAACUAUGCACAGGAAUGAUAUGUGGGCUCGUAAAUGUUCACGUGCAAGCUGCUACACCUGCCGCUUAAUUAUGAACAGCAACUAUCAAAGAGCCGUAACUGAUUAACUAAAUGCACAUAAACAUGAAAAACAACAUGAAAGCGAAAGGAAACCGAGAAAGGGAGAGUGCACAGGCCACAGGACAUAGCACCGAGGGCAGAGGGAGCGCCACGCACGAGUAGCAGCAUCCCAGCAGCAACCCCUGUUAAAAAUGAUCUAUGUUCUGGCACUGGAGU